GGCGUGCUUAACNCAUGCAAGUCGAGUAACCUUCGGGGGCCGAGCGGCGACGGGUGAGUAACACGUGGGUAUCUGCCUCGNCUUCGGGAUAAGCCUGGAAACUGGGUCUAANNNCGGAUAUGCCUCAGAUGCAUUGAUUUAUCGGUGCGAGAUGGGCCCGCGGCCUAUCAGCUUGUUGGUGGGGUAAUGGCCUACCAAGGCGACGACGGGUAGCCGACCUGAGAGGGUGCCGGCCACACUGGGACUGAGACACGGCCCAGUCUCCUACGGGAGGCAGCAGUGGGGAAUAUUGCACAAUGGGCGGAAGCCUGAUGCAGCGACGCCGCGUGAGGGAUGGCGCCUUCGGGUUGUAAACCUCUUUCGACAGGGACGAAG
rnacentral:rRNA from 1 species